GCCCGUCACCUGAUUGUGCCUGGUGCACGUGACGUGACGUUACACGGUAGCUCACAGUGACCCGCACUUCCUAUUUGUUUUAAAUGCCAUUCACGCGGCAAACGCAGCAUGUUUGGUUUGGCUCUGUCGGCGGUGAAUAUUAAGCACAAUACGGAUCUGCUUGUUCGUUGGAAUAUAACGCCAGUAGGAUUGUGAAGUGUUGCCUCUAACAGACGAACAGUUUUCACACCUACAACGCAUUUGGAACACUGGCGUCUUAACAUCGCAUGCGGGAUUUUAUGAGGAACACUGUAUAUCACUGUUUUUCCCAUAGCUAAUUUAUGAUGAGACAAGCACUUGAAUUGAGCUACUAGCCUGCAUAGUGUUGCUGUAAAACCACCUUCCGUUUACUUGUUUGUUGUCUUGGCGAGUUUUAUUUUCUUUCUGUUUUAUUCCUUUGGGUC
ensembl:lncRNA